UGGAGUCUCGCUCUGUUGCCCAGGCUGGAGUGCAGUGGUGCAAUCUUGGCUCACUGCAAUCUCCGCCUCCUGGGUUCAAGCGACUCUCCUGCCUCAGCGUCCUGAGUAGUUGGGAUUACAGAUGCGUGCCACCACGCCAGGCUAAUUUUUGUAUUUUUAGUAGAGACAGGGUUUCAUCAUGUUGGUCAGGCUGGUCUCAAACUCCUGACCGCCUUGGCUUCCCAAAGUGCUGAGAUUAUAGGCGUGAACCACCAUGCCUGGCCUAGGUUUUGUUUUGAACUGAUAUUCUGUUUCUUCAGCAAGUCCACAUAAGAAUGUGGAUAUGAAAGGAUGAAAAUCUACUGAAAGAUUACAUAAAGAACAGAUAACAGGGACCCACAGAAUAAAUCAGAAGAAAUCUAUGAAAUAGCCACAACUUCUUGAACAUUAAAGUGAAGGGAAAAAAAGCCACAUUCAUCAGAUUAAACAGAAGCUAUUAAUUUUUUUCUUCCAUUUAUAGUGUGGAUAGGAAUUAAAGCAAAACAGUGAGACUGUAUGGUUUUCAAUACAAGUUCAAAGAAAGCAACAAAAUCUUCUGUUUUAGGAAAUCAUAUUAAUAUCUAUUACAAAUGCAGAAAGCAGGGGGGCUGAGUCAAUGCCCCAGCACCAACCAUACUGGUUAUAGUGUGGAAGAGGGGCGGGUGAGGUGGAAGCUGCCAGAGAGAGCAGGAGGAUCAGCACUGGAGUGAAGAGGAAGCACGCAGCAGGAGAGGGCAAAGAGCACUGAGAAGAAGAGGGGAGCAGUGGGCCAUGAUUGUGCCCUUCUUGCUUCUCCAGAGACCCUUUCCUAUGCAGCACCCCACACCCAGCCAGACCUUAUUGUGAUUCUGGCUAGAAGUGUGGGGACUGACAGCUCAUAAAUGCUCCCACAGAGUUGAUACAACUCUGCUUUAAGGAGGAGAAUACAUUUAUUGGUCGAAGUGAUUUAGAGAAUAUCAUUUGGUAAAUAAAACUACAAUAGCCUAUAAAAUGUAACCUGCUAGUUUUCUGCCACGUUAGCAUUAAUAUUAAGGCUUUUUUUUUUUUUUUGAGACGGAGUCUCGCUCUGUCACCCAGGCUGGAGUGCAGUGGCGCGAUCUCGGCUCACUGCAAUCUCCACCUCCCAGGUUCAAGCAAUUCUCCCGCCUCAGCCUCCCCAGUGGCUGGGACUACAAGGCACAAGCCACCAUGCCCGGCUAAUUUUUUUUACUUUUUAGUAGAGACAGGGUUUUGCCAUGUUGGCCAGGCUGGUCUUGAACUCCUGAACUCAGAUUGAGACCAUCCUGGCUAACACGGUGAAACCCUGUCUCUACUAAAAAUACAAAAAAUUAGCUGGGCGUGGUGGCGCGCACCUGUAGUCCCAGCUACUCGCGAGGCUGAGGCAGGAGAAUGGCGUGAACCUGGGAGGUGGAGUUUGCAGUGAGCCGAGAUCGCGCCACUGCACUCCAGCCUGGGUGACACAGCGAGACUCCGUCUCAAAAA
rnacentral:lncRNA from 1 species